rnacentral:rRNA from 1 species
UGCGUAGGCGGGUCUUUAAGUCAGGGGUGAAAUCCUGGAGCUCAACUCCAGAACUGCCUUUGAUACUGAAGAUCUUGAGUUCGGGAGAGGUGAGUGGAACUGCGAGUGUAGAGGUGAAAUUCGUAGAUAUUCGCGAGAACACCAGUGGCGAAGGCGGCUCACUGGCCCGAUACUGACGCUGAGGCACGAAAGCGUGGGGGAGCAAACA